rnacentral:rRNA from 1 species
GAUGAACGCUGGCGGCGUGCCUAAUACAUGCAAGUCGAGCGAACAGAUGAGGAGCUUGCUCCUCUGACGUUAGCGGCGGACGGGUGAGUAACACGUGGAUAACCUACCUAUAAGACUGGGAUAACUUCGGGAAACCGGAGCUAAUACCGGAUAAUAUAUUGAACCGCAUGGUUCAAUAGUGAAAGACGGUUUUGCUGUCACUUAUAGAUGGAUCCGCGCCGCAUUAGCUAGUUGGUAAGGUAACGGCUUACCAAGGCAACGAUGCGUAGCCGACCUGAGAGGGUGAUCGGCCACACUGUAACUGAGACACGGUCCAGACUCCUACGGGAGGCAGCAGUAGGGAAUCUUCCGCAAUGGGCGAAAGCCUGACGGGGCAACGCCGCGUGAGUGAUGAAGGUCUUCGGAUCGUAAAACUCUGUUAUUAGGGAAGAACAAAUGUGUAAGUAACUAUGCACGUCUUGACGGUACCUAAUCAGAAAGCCACGGCUAACUACGUG